rnacentral:lncRNA from 10 species
GAAACACACUGAUCCUACAUUUGGAAUAUGGAGACACAGAAAGGUUUUGGUUUCAAAGGUAGCCAAGGCAGAAUUACCAGGACCCUACUUAAAGGUUUCACUGUGAGGAAACCAACCUUAAAGAAAAAACUCUCCCUUAAACUGAUAUCAAGCCAUUGUCAAGUGCAUUGUUUUAUCUCUUUAAUGUCUCACGAAACCAUCAACUUCUCUCCAAAUUCAAGAAAACCAUCACCUGUCUGGAAUACUUAAAUGACCUUUUAAUAAUCCAAAUGUGUUUUUCUAACAUGUCCUCCUGCUAAUCUCUACAUUUGAGCCAAUGUCAUCUUGGCAAAAUGCCAGAUUGCUGAUGUCACUACUGCUCAGACCCAUCACAGCAUCUCCACUUAAACUCUCAAACAGCUUCGAAUGACUCUUAUAAGGAAAAUCAAAAGCCUUAGGCCCUCAUAUUCAAUAAUAUUCUACACAAA